CGGCCGGGCGCCCCGCUCAUUGGCGGAGCCGCCGUUUGAAAAAAAGACCCGGAAAGGAGGGAGGGGAGGGGAGGGAGGGGGGAGACGGAGAGCCGAGGUCCCGCCCCUCUCCGCGAUUGGCUGGGCCUGCCCUGUGACGUCACUGCAUUCGGCGGGGGAAGCGUCCGCCCGGCCGGCCCCGCCCCCCCGGGCCAAUCAGGGACGAGCAAUGGAGGGUGUCAUGGCAACGCCUCCCCGGGCCCGCCGAGGCUGCUGGGAAAGGCCGGCUCUCUCGACCACUUCCGGUGGGCUUCAACCGGCUCAAAAAUCCGGGCUUCCGGUUGGGAGGAAGUUUUAAGGCCCGCCCCCUACCCGGCGCUCAGAGCAGUUUCUAGAACCCCCCCCCCGUGGUAGCUCAGUUUUUGCGGGGAGCUGAAUGUUGGGUUUUUUUUUUUUAAAUGGUAUUUGUUAAAAGGUUAUUAUGGGUCAAACUCUGGGGUAGAUGCAAGUUUAUCAGGUUGGACACAGUCCCCGGGCCUCCAAAUUGGAGGCUCGAAGCCCCCUUUUCCAGCCGAGGCAGCAGAGGAGCGGCCCCGUCCCAAAUCACCCAGCAGAAGUGACUUGGUAGGAGAGGUAGGAUUAGAACUCAGGUCCUCUGCGUCCCACUUGGUCAUGCUGGUCUCCCUGGGGCCCGGAGAGGACCGCCAGCCUGGAUGGAGAGACUCGGAGCCCCUUGCGAGAUAGCCUGCCGGUCUCACCUUCACAACAUCGCCGAGAUCCGCCCUUUCCUCUCCAUCCAAACUGCUUCCACGUUAGUACAGUCACUCAUCCUAUCCCACCUGGAUGACUGCAACAGCCUCCUUUCUGACCUCCCAACCUCCUGCCUCUCCCCACUUCAGUCCAUACUUCGCUCUGCUACCCCGAUUGUCUUUCUACAGAAACACUCUGGGCAUGUCACCCACCUCCUCAAAACUCUCCAGUGGUUGUCUAUCAACCUCCCUAACACCCAAAACUCCUCACUCUUGGCUUCAAGGCUCUCCAUCACCUUGUCCCCUCCUACCUACCUCCCUUCUCUCUUUCUACUGCCCACCUCGCACGCUCCGCUCCUCUGCCGCUCACCUCCUCACUGUCCCCCGUUCAUACCUAUCCCGCUGUCGAUCCCUGGCCCACGUCCUACCGCUGACCUGGAAUGCCCUCCCUCCUCACCUCCGCCAAACUAACUCUCUUCCCCUCUUCAAAGCCCUCCUGAGAGCUCACCUCCUCCAAGAGGCCUUCCCAGACUGAGCCCUCCCUUUCCCUCUGCUCCUCCUCCCCUCCCCUGCACCCCGACUCCCUCCCUUUGCUCUACCCCCUUCCCCUCCCCACAGCACUUGUGUAUAUAUGUACAUAUCUAUAAUUCUAUUUAUUUAUUUUAAUGCCUCUUUACUUGUUUUGAUAUGUAUAUAUCAAUAAUUGUAUUUAUAUUGAUGCUAUUGAUGCCUGUUUAUGUGCUUUGAUGUCUGUCUCCCCGCCUCUAGACUCUGAGCCCAUUCUGGGCAGAGAGUGUCUCUAUUGCUGAAUUGUACUUUCCAAGCACCUAAUACAGUGCUCUGCACACAGUAAGCGCUCAAUAAAUACGAUUGAAUGAAUGAAGAUGGGGUGUGUUGAUCUGAUUAUAAUAAUAAUGUUGGUAUUUGUUAAGCAGUGUGUUAAGCAGCGUGGCUCAGCAGAAAGAGCCCGGGCUUGGGAGUCAGAGGUCAUGAGUUCAAAUCCCGGCUCUGCCACUUGUCAGCUGUGUGACUGUGGGCAGGUCACUUCACUUCUCUGUGCCUCAGUUACCUCAUCUGUAAAAUGGGGAUUAACUGUGAGCCUCACGUGGGACAACCUGAUUCCCCUGUUCUCCCCCAGCGCUUAGAACAGUGCUCUGCACAUAGUAAGCACUUAACAAAUACCCACAUUAUUAUUAUUAAGUGCGAUUAUCAUGUACUACAGUGCUUAGCAUGUAAUACACAUUUAAGAAAUAGCGAUUGUCUCUAUUGCUGAAUUGUACUUUCCAAGUGCUUAGUACAGUGCUCUGCACAGAGUAAGUGCUCAGUAAAUACAGUUGGGUGAAUGACUAUUAUGUGCCACUGGUAAUAAUGUUAAAAUGAUUUGGGAGAAGCGGCAUGGCUUACUGGAUAGAUCACGGGCUUGGGAGUCAGGAGGUCAUAAAUUCUAAUCCUGGCUCUCUCACUUGUCUGCUGUGUGAGUUUAAGCAAGUCACUUCACUUCUCUGUGCCUCAGUUAUCUCAUCUGUCAAAUGGGGAUUGAGACUGUGAGCCCCAUGUGGGGCAGGGAUUGUUUCCGAUCCAAUUUGCUUGUAACCACCCCCGCGCUUAGUACAGUGCCUGGCACAGAGUAAGCACUUAACAAAGACCACAAUUAUUAUUAUUUACUAACAAUGUAGGGAUGUCUAAUUGCCACCUAUGUAUUUUCUCCCAGACCUCAGGAAAGUGCUCUGCACAUAACAAGUGCUUAAUAAGUAAUAAUAAUGAUGGUAUUUGUUAAGUGCUUAUAUGUGCCAAGCACUGUUCUAAGCACUGAGGUAGAUACAAGGUAAUCGAGUUGUCCCACCUGGGGCUCACAGUCUUAGUUCCCAUUUUACAAAUGAGGGUACUGAAGCACGAGAAGUGAAGUGACUUGCCCAAAGUCACAUAGCUGAUAAGUGCCGGAGCCGGGAUUAGAACCCACAACCUCGGACUCCCAAACCCAGGCUCUUUCCACUGAGCCAUGCUGCUUCUUGUGCUAUUACUGCUUAAAAUUGGGGAAGGUUUCUGGAAAAGCCCCAGCUCUUGGGGAAGGUAGAUUUGGAAGCAGGACGGGACUCCACAAAUUCUUAUUGAGAUGGCUGCAUGUUUAUACUAGGGCUAGUCACCCUGUUUUAAGUAGCAGGAGUGAGAGGUUGCCCACAUCUGGCCCAGAUGGGCGUCCACAAAGGUUUUUGUGCUUUUUUUUUAGCUUUUUGUUUGUUUGUUUGUUUAAUUGCUUUCCAUGUGCCAGGCACGGUGCUAAGCACUGCGGUAGAUGUAAGGUAAUUAGGUUGGGCCCAGUCCCUGCCCCUCCAUGCGGUUCACAGUCUUAACCCCCAUUUUCCAGAUGAGGGAGCUGAGGC
rnacentral:lncRNA from 1 species